rnacentral:lncRNA from 1 species
UACUAGCAAAAUGGAAAUUCCCCUGUAAUCAUCUUAUAUCUGGUAAGUUACAACAUUUGAACAUUAACGAUUUUUGAAGAUGUUAACAGUCUAAUCUUGUAGGAAAACAUGCCGACUUAACUGAUAAUAACAAUCCAGAUUGGGUUCCUUCAAUAUGGGGUAUAUAAACAAAAUGAAAUGAGUUCCCCAAAAUCUAAAAUGGAGCAGUAUCAAAGAAGAAUUAAAAGAAAAGGGUACCUACAAGAAAACAUUGCUUUUUUUAUUCCUCUUGAAAUGAGUUAUAAGACACUGGACUGUCUUAUAUUCUACAAAUACUAGAAUCAGCUGAGAGAAGUGGUCUACAAAAAACCAGGAAGGAAACGGGAUAUGUGGCUAUGAGAGGCAAAAGAAAGGUUUACAAAGCAAAUGUGACACAUUUUUUUUUAAAUAUUUAGGAAUAUCAGUAAAUUACAUUAAAAAAAUGUAUGAAAAGAUUUUGUUCAAUAAAAAUGUUUAUAUUUAUCAAGGAUGUAUUAAUUGGUAUGGCCACAUAUCGUCAGUGAUGUAAUAAUACAUCCUAUCUGUUUUUUCAUGAGUUUCGUAAGAGAGACUAAAAACUUGUCUUAGGGUCACCUCCUGUUUUCAUAUAUUUUUUGACUUGUUUUGUAGUAAAUUAAACUAUCUAUGAACUACAAAACAAGUCAAAACUUACAUAUGAACACAGGAGGUGACCUUAAAACAUGUUUUUCCAUCUCGCCUACAAAACUCAUGAAAAAACAGAUAGGAGGUAUUGUCACAUCAGCAAGGAUGUACAGUGAUGAGUGCCCUAAUAACCGGCAAAA